rnacentral:rRNA from 1 species
AAUCCUGGCUCAGGAUGAACGCUAGCGACAGGCUUAACACAUGCAAGUCGAGGGGCAGCGGGGUGUAGCAAUACACCGCCGGCGACCGGCGCACGGGUGAGUAACGCGUAUGCAACUUGCCCAUCAGAGGGGGAUAACCCGGCGAAGGUCGGACUAAUACCGCAUGAAGCAGGGAUCCCGCAUGGGAAUAUUUGCUAAAGAUUCAUCGCUGAUAGAUAGGCAUGCGUUCCAUUAGG